CUGCUGUGUCUGUGGAGUAGCCAUUCUUUUAUUCCUUUACUUUCUUAAUAAACUUGCUUUUGCUUUGUGCUGUGGACUCGCCCUGAAUUCUUUCUUGCAUGAGAUCCAAGAACCCUCUCUUGGGGUCUGGAUCGGGACCCUUUCCUGUAACAUCUUUCUGGUGGCCACUGAAGGGACUAAAGUGAGGAAACCCCCAACUCAAAGGUUAACUUUGCAUAAGUGUUGGGGUCCUGUAACAUCUUUCUGGUGACCACGGAAGCGACUAUAGUGAGGAAACCCCUGACCCAAAGGCUAACUUUGGGUAAGUGGUGGGAUCCAGUAACAUCUUUCUGGUGAACCACAGAAGGGAUGAUACUGAGGAGAACCCCCCAACCCAAAGGAAAUAGACUUCAGCACUGAUUGGAUGACUUUGGGUAAGUGGGGUACAUAAACCCAGGUAAAGGAUGGGAUUGGGUUAGAGGCCCAACUUAGGGGAGUUAGCAUCUCUCCUAAGACAAAGUGGGUCAGAGGCCCCUCUUAAUAAAAAACAAAGAUGCUUGACUGACCUUGGGUUAGAGGCCCAACUUAGGAGGGUUAGAGUCCCUUCUAAGAUGUAGGGAGUUAGUGGUCCUCUCAGUAAAGUUCCUCUCGGUAAAGUCCCUUUCAGCUAAAAAUGGGUUUGGCACUCCGGGAUGUUAACUGCUAUUCUCUUUGGAUUAAUCUGUCUUGCACUCUUCGCUGAUGGCUGUGGGUGACAAGAUUAGGCACGUACAGGACUGUGGGACAUGGGGAGCUUUUUCUUCCCUAAAAGGGAAAGCUGAGAGCAGAUGGGACUGCUGGAAAAGAUCCCUUCACUUACUGACAAGCAGCCGCCUGAACUUUUCAGUGUCGCUGCAAUGGAGUCAAGGAAACUUUUCAGCUAUUUACAGCUUUUAACAAUUGAGUAAAGCAUACUCCUGUGAACAAAAUUUGGAACAUAUUUGUUUCUCUCUACCUGAUUUCUCCACAAUUUGGAAACUAUGUAUAUCACCUUUUGUUGGACUCAAGAGUUAUGAAUGGCCCUCACCAUACUGAUGCUUUCUGACUGAGCUCCUCACUACCCUGAACACAAGAGGGAGGAAUAUCAUCGCCCCUAUUCAGCCUGGAGAAGUUACAAAAGAUGGAUCUUCGUCCCUCUGCAACCCUUAGGAUUAAUGGUUCUCCUAUAAAAGGGAUGGGGGGAAAAUGUCAGAGGCAUUUGAACAAGAGCAACUCCAUCUUAAAGAGGAGCUGGGUAAAAUAAGGCUGAAACCUACUGGGCUGCAUUCCCAGAUGGUUAAGGCAUUCUAAGUCACAGGAUGAGAUGGGAGGUUGGCACAAAAUACAGGUCAUAAAGACCCUGCUGAUAAAACAGGUUGCAGUAAAGAAGCUGGCCAAAACCCACCAAAACCAAGAUGGCAAUGAGACUGACCUCUGGUCGUCCUCACUGCUACACUCCCAUCAGUGCCAUGACAGUUUACAGAUGCCAUGGCAACAUCAGGAAGUUACCCUAUAUGGCCUAGAAAGGGGAGGCAUGAAUAAUCCACCUCUUGUUUAGCAUAUCAUCAAGAAAUAACCAUAAAAAUGGACAACCAGCAGCCCUGGGGACUGCUGUGCCUGUGGAGUAGCCAUUCUUUUAUUCCUUUACUUUUUUUUUUUUUUUUUUUUUUUGGAGACGAGUCUCGCUCAGUCACCCAGGCUGGAGUGCAGUGGCACUAUCUCGGCUCAUUGCAAGCUCCGCCUCCCAGGUUCACGCCAUUCUCCUGCCUCAGCCUCCCGUGUAGCUGGGACUACAGGUGCCCACCACUACGCCCAGCUAAUUUUCUUGUAUUUUUAGUAGAGACGGGGUUUCACCCUGUUAGCCAGGAUGGUCUCGAUCUCCUGACCUCGUGACCUGCCCAUCUCGGCCUCCCAAAGUGCUGGGAUUACAGGCGUGAGCCACCGCACCUGGCCUAUUCCUUUACUUUCUUAAUAAACUUGCGUUUAC
rnacentral:lncRNA from 1 species